rnacentral:rRNA from 1 species
GGCGGCAGGCCUAACACAUGCAAGUCGAGCGGGUCCUUCGGGACUAGCGGCGGACGGGUUAGUAACGCGUGGGAACGUGCCCAAAGGUACGGAAUAGCCUCGGGAAACUGAGAGUAAUACCGUAUGUGCCCUACGGGGGAAAGAUUUAUCGCCUUUGGAUCGGCCCGCGUUGGAUUAGGUAGUUGGUGGGGUAAUGGCCUACCAAGCCGACGAUCCAUAGCUGGUUUGAGAGGAUGAUCAGCAACACUGGGACUGAGACACGGCCCAGACUCCUACGGGAGGCAGCAGUGGGGAAUCUUAGACAAUGGGGGAAACCCUGAUCUAGCCAUGCCGCGUGAGCGAUGAAGGCCUUAGGGUUGUAAAGCUCUUUCAGCUGGGAAGAUAAUGACGGUACCAGCAGAAGAAGCCCCGGCUAACUCCGUGCCAGCAGCCGCGGUAAUACGGAGGGGGCUAGCGUUGUUCGGAAUUACUGGGCGUAAAGCGCGCGUAGGCGGAUUGGAAAGUUGGGGGUGAGAUCCCGGGGCUCAACCUCGGAACUGCCUUCAAAACUCCCAGUCUUGAGUUCGA